UGAAAAUGCUGGAAAUAAAGGAGAGGAGCUACUUUGCAGAAUUUCCAAAAUUUCAAAUUUGUAGAAAUUUGCCCCAGAAAGAGGCCGCUGGUGAAGCUGGGAACUCAUCCGUCCCCCUGGUGUCACAGGGAGAGGCCAAAGCUGGAACCAGUUCCCGAAGCAUUCGUGAUCUGGUGGCUCACCAGGACAUUGGUUCGAGACACGAGACUCCAAUCCAUGAGUUUUGGGAGAUGCUCCUGUGGCCACGUGGACCAUCUCGAGUAGUGUCUGUGUCUGUCUGUCGGCCAGGAGCUGGUCCAUCUGUCCGGUCCUGUCGGCGGUCCCAUGUGCUGGAGAGGAUGCAGUAGAUCUGUGUUCCUGGGCUCGGUGGGUUUCCCCCAUGGACCUUUAUCAUCUCCUGGCUGCAUGGACUUUACCGGCUCGGGGGUGAAGUGUGAAGAGCAGAAACUCGCUGUGCUCUCAGGAGAUGCUGCAUCUGCUCCUCUCCUGCUCCAUCCUCUGCGACUUUCAAGCAAAUCACUCCGGCCCCAGCCGUCCUCCUCCAGGGGAAUCACAGCUUCCUUGGUCACCAGGUGCUGGUAGAGGAACUUCAAGUUUUGCUGGUGGAUUCACACGUCGAGGUGGAGCUGGGCUGUGCCACAUGAGGGGCAGCAGCUUGUGGGAAAGCGCUUGAUACAUGGUUUAUACCCAGAAGAGGCAGGGCGUGAAGCCGUGGGAAACCUCCCCCAUGGAAAUGGUGGUGGUUUCUGGUGGAGCAGCAGCUGAUGGUCCACACACCCAGCAGCUCCAGGGCUCCCACUGGCCACUGGGCAACAGCCAAGGGAAAGCUGUCACCGUCUGGUGGCUGUUGGGUGUCCAACGUGACAUGGAGACACCGCAGGGGAAAGUGGAAGACAGACGGUUGAGUUACUCCUGAAUCCAAAUUCAGGUUCAGAGCCACGUGCUUUGCAACUGGUAAAGAUUAAGAUCUUCAUUUUGGCAUUUCUCCUGUGUUCUGGAGCCAGAGCUUGGCCUGUUUCUUCUCUGCGUGGGAGCUGGGGGAAGGCUGGUGUGCCAGAUGGGUGUUUUUAGGUCACUUCCAGAGAAGUGGAUUCGUUUCGAUGGAACCAGCCCAUGCAUUGGCACUCAGCCACGUUGUGGUGGGGAUGGAGGAUGGUUUCCACCUUCCAUUGUCUCACUGUCAGAAGUUUUGACCUUGCUCACACAUCUAUUAAGGCUUGAUUUAUCUUCACUGACGUUCAGACUCUGACCCUGCCAAGAUCGUUGUCGGACCAUCUCUGGGUUUCAGUGGCCAAACACUCAAAAGCAGGAGCGCCCAUCAAGGGCUUCCUCUGCCAAGAGCAAACCAAAGACCAACCUGUGCUGAACUAAUUCAAUCCCUCUCUUCAGAAGGUCCCUCUGCUUUCCUGGAACCACCUGGUUCAUUAGGAAUUGGGCUUUUGCAUGUAUUAGAACUGUAGAGCUCUCAUUCCCACAGGCACGUGGGGACGUGGUGGAAUGAAUGUGCAUGUUGUGUCUUGAUAAUGUAGUUUUCUGGGGUUGUCAGACUUUUUGAAGGUGUGAAACGGGGACCAGUUUGACCUCACACGAGGCAUUGGGUCCUUAACUAACUGUGCAAUGCCAUAGACAUUUGUCCACCUAAAAUACAGUAUUAACACUAAUCAGAUAUUAUUUAGAAAGUAUGUGGUAAGCGACAACUGCUGCACUGAAAAUUAAAUUAAGGCUGUUAAAUAGAUUUGAGUUUAAAGAAAACAACUUUUGGUGAAAAAAAAUCUUUGAAGAUACCUGUUUUAGUUCAGAUUUCACAUUUAAAUUUCCUCAAAGAUGUUGGCAGGGUUCAUUUCUCCUUUGUACAUGUAGCAUAUUUGUUCAUCUGUGCUAUUAUACAGUUCUUUUCAAGCUGAGUACUCUACUGGAAGCCAGCAGCAGCUGAAUUGAAGAUAUGAAACUGGAGGAGACCAUAUUUCAUACUGCAUAAAGUGCACCCCUGGAAUUUUCAGUUCUUCUUUUCUGCAGUAUUACAAAUGCCUUUAUAAAGUAUCAUGGCAGAUGGGAUUAAAAAAAAAAAAAAAGAGAGAGAAAAGAAAAAGAAAAAA